rnacentral:rRNA from 2 species
UUUUAUGGAGAGUUUGAUCCUGGCUCAGGAUGAACGCUGGCGGCGUGCCUAAUACAUGCAAGUCGAGCGAACGGACGAGAAGCUUGCUUCUCUGAUGUUAGCGGCGGACGGGUGAGUAACACGUGGAUAACCUACCUAUAAGACUGGGAUAACUUCGGGAAACCGGAGCUAAUACCGGAUAAUAUUUUGAACCGCAUGGUUCAAAAGUGAAAGACGGUCUUGCUGUCACUUAUAGAUGGAUCCGCGCUGCAUUAGCUAGUUGGUAAGGUAACGGCUUACCAAGGCAACGAUGCAUAGCCGACCUGAGAGGGUGAUCGGCCACACUGGAACUGAGACACGGUCCAGACUCCUACGGGAGGCAGCAGUAGGGAAUCUUCCGCAAUGGGCGAAAGCCUGACGGAGCAACGCCGCGUGAGUGAUGAAGGUCUUCGGAUCGUAAAACUCUGUUAUUAGGGAAGAACAUAUGUGUAAGUAACUGUGCACAUCUUGACGGUACCUAAUCAGAAAGCCACGGCUAACUACGUGCCAGCAGCCGCGGUAAUACGUAGGUGGCAAGCGUUAUCCGGAAUUAUUGGGCGUAAAGCGCGCGUAGGCGGUUUUUUAAGUCUGAUGUGAAAGCCCACGGCUCAACCGUGGAGGGUCAUUGGAAACUGGAAAACUUGAGUGCAGAAGAGGAAAGUGGAAUUCCAUGUGUAGCGGUGAAAUGCGCAGAGAUAUGGAGGAACACCAGUGGCGAAGGCGACUUUCUGGUCUGUAACUGACGCUGAUGUGCGAAAGCGUGGGGAUCAAACAGGAUUAGAUACCCUGGUAGUCCACGCCGUAAACGAUGAGUGCUAAGUGUUAGGGGGUUUCC